GGACCAAUGAUGACAAAUACCGGCGUAUGAGUCUUGGAUGAUGAAUAAUACGUGUCUGGAACUCUGAGGUCCAUCAGAAAAGAAAACCAGUUCUUUCUGCUCAUGUAUUUUCAUUCUGUUAUUAUAAUUGGAUCAAUAAAAGAAUGAAUCAACAAAUAUAUAACUAAAUAAAGAUGAUUCGUGUGAAGCAUUGUCCAAUUAUAAAAAUAGAUGGUGUGGCAAGAAGUAAUAUUAAUAUGUACUGGAAACUCUGAAGUCCAAAGAGAAAUAAAUGAAUGAACGCACUUGAGUUGAUUCAAGCACGCUUCCAUGGUCAUGAGCUCUGUGGUUGCAUCUGUGUGUUAGGAGCAUGCAGACCAAUAGUGAUAAUCUCGAGGUGAUUUAUGCAUUCUUCCAUGGCCACCAGCCUUAUGAUUGCAUCUGUGCGUCACAGCUUAGAGAUCAAUAAUGGAUGCAACAAGCUCUUUGAAUCAUUCUGUUGGGAUCAAGAUUGUUGUGUUCCCUCUGUUUGGAAAGAGACCAAGAAUGGAUACGCUCAGGUGAUUUAAGCAGUCUUCCAUGGCCACGAGCUCUGUGGUUGCCUCUGUAUAUUAAGAGCACAGAGAUUAAAAAUGGGUGCACUUGAGCCGAUUGAAACAUUCCUCCUUGCAUCUUUCUUCUGUGAUUGCAUCUAUUUGUUAGUAGCAUAGAGACCAAUAAUAGAUGGCUUGUGCUGAUGGAAGGAUUCCUCCCUGGUGACAUGCUGUGUCUGCCUCUUGAUUGGGAGCACGCAGACCUACAAUGAUGCACUUUUUAUGAUUUGAGAAUUCCUUCAUGGUCACGUGCUCUGUUUUUAUCAUGGUUGGGAGCCUGCAGAGCAAUAAGGGACAUGCCUUUGCUGAUUUGAGGAUUCCUCUGAGGUUGGGAGCUAAGUUUGCAUCAUGCUUAGAAAGGAGUGUGCAGACCUGUAAUGAUUGCACUUUGCUGAUUGAAGGAUUCCUUCAAGUCCAUGUGCUCCACUUGCACCAUUUUUAGGAUGGAGCCUGGAGACCUAUAAUGAACAACUUGUGCUGUGUUAAGGAUUCCUCCAUGAUCACGCGCCCCAUUUGUACACCAUGCUUGGGAAGGUGCAUGCAGACCAAUGUUAGUAAUAGUCAAAAUUCCUGUGUCGGUUUGUGUGGUUUGCUAAACAGGACUCAAUGUAUCAUGAAACAGUGUAUUAUAUAGUCAACUAUGGUCAACUAUGUCCCAGUGAUAUUUAUGAGAGGGAUCUGAAGUAUUUAUUGAUAAUGCAUAUAUGAAAAACGGAGAAGAAUUAAUGAAACAGAUAUAUCUGUGUUAGAAUGAUUCUGUAUAAAGAUAGGGAAUAUCAAGUCUGUUCUUAGUGUUUUGUGAAUCACAGAGUGUAAAAUUAUUCCCAGUGAAUUAAUGAAUAAAUUUAAAGACAACAUAGAAAUGAAUGCAGAAAAAGAGGGUCAACCCUGGAUCGAUGAUGAGCACUGGUGGAGUAUGAGUCACAUACGAUGAAUACGUGUCUGGAACUCUGAGGUCCAUCGCAGAA
ensembl:lncRNA MEG8 maternally expressed 8, small nucleolar RNA host gene